rnacentral:rRNA from 1 species
AGAUUGAACGCUGGCGGCAGGCCUAACACAUGCAAGUCGAGCGGCAGCACGGGUACUUGUACCUGGUGGCGAGCGGCGGACGGGUGAGUAAUGCCUAGGAAUCUGCCUGGUAGUGGGGGAUAACGCUCGGAAACGGACGCUAAUACCGCAUACGUCCUACGGGAGAAAGCGGGGGACCUUCGGGCCUCGCGCCAUUAGAUGAGCCUAGGUCGGAUUAGCUAGUUGGUGAGGUAAUGGCUCACCAAGGCGACGAUCCGUAACCGGUCUGAGAGGAUGAUCAGUCACACUGGAACUGAGACACGGUCCAGACCUCCUACGGGGAGGCAG